AUACGGAGGGUGCAAGCGUUACUCGGAAUCACUGGGCGUAAAGCGCGCGCAGGCGGCUUGAUAAGUUGGAUGUGAAAGCCCACGGCUCAACCGUAGAACUGCAUCCAAAACUGUCAGGCUAGAGUGUGGGAGAGGAAGAUGGAAUUAGUUGUGUAGGGGUAAAAUCCGUAGAGAUAACUAGGAAUACCAAAAGCGAAGGCAAUCUUCUGGAACACUACUGACGCUGAGGCGCGAAGGCGUGGGGAGCAAACAGGAUUAGAAACCCCGGUAGUCC
rnacentral:rRNA from 1 species